rnacentral:rRNA from 1 species
AGUGAACGCUGGCGGCAGGCCUAAUACAUGCAAGUCGAACGGCAGCACAGCAGAGCUUGCUCUGUGGGUGGCGAGUGGCGGACGGGUGAGGAAUACAUGGGAAUCUGCCCAGUCGGGGGGGAUAACGUAGGGAAACUUACGCUAAUACCGCAUGCGCCCUUCGGGGGAAAGCCGGGGCCCUUCGGGCCUGGCGCGCUCGGAUGAGCCCAUGUCGGAUUAGCUAGUUGGCGGGGUAACGGGCCACCAACGCGACGAUCCGUAGCCGGUCUGAGAGGAUGAUCAGCCACACUGGAACUGAGACACGGUCCAGACUCCUACGGGAGGCAGCAGUAGGGAAUUUUGCGCAAUGGGGGAAACCCUGACGCAGCAACGCCAUGUGUGGGAUGACGCAUUUCGGUGUGUAAACCACUGUCGGCAGGGAAUAAAGCCCGCAUUUAUGCGGGGGUGAAUGUACCUGCAAAGGAAGCCCCGGCUAACUUCGUGCCAGCCGCCGCAGUAA